GAAACAAAAAGAGACUAAAGUGUUACCUCAUUUUACAUGAAAUCUACAUUAAAAAUAUUAUAUUUUGAGAUAUUAAAUUACUAGAAAUAAAUUGAAGUCGUGGACUUAAUUUUUAACAUAGAGAUGAAAUGUAGACCACAUAUUUGAAUAAUUUUGAUUGGUUGACUUUGAUCUCAUUUAUGUGGUAAGUAAAAGGAGAAAAAAAAUGAGAUAUUCUCUCUUAUUUCUUGCAACAACAGGAGAGGGGAGGAGAGGUCCUCCGAUGACUUUUUUUAUUCCUUUCUCUUCCAAUCAACACCCACCCACCCAAGUUUUGUUCCAUUAAAUCUUACUACUAGAAAACAAUUUUUUGCUUGAUUUCCACAAUUGUUUUCUUUAUUUGAGGCUAAGAUUUCAAGUGGGUUAAUCAAAAAAAGCUAUGCUAGAGAGACAAAGCUCCAAGAAGAAGACUUUGAGUGGAUGAAUGGGUGGAUCCACAUGUUGAGAAAGCUAAAAGAAGCUUUGUUUUGAAACUUUUGCUAUUAAAGUGGUGUCAUGUAUUCUUUUAACCUCCCUUUAAUAAAAUGAUCAUGAAAAUUAUUAAAA